GGCUCAGGACGAACGCUGGCGGCGUGCCUAAUACAUGCAAGUCGAGCGGACCUUUCGGGGUCAGCGGCGGACGGGUGAGUAACACGUGGGCAAUCUGCCCGAUACUCUGGGAUAACACUUGGAAACGAGUGCUAAUACCGGAUGGUCUUCUUGGUCGCAUGGCCGAGAAGGAAAAGACGCGUUCGCGUCGGUGUCGGAUGAGCCCGCGGCGCAUUAGCUAGUUGGCGAGGUAACGGCCCACCAAGGCGACGAUGCGUAGCCGACCUGAGAGGGUGACCGGCCACACUGGGACUGAGACACGGCCCAGACUCCUACGGGAGGCAGCAGUAGGGAAUCUUCCACAAUGGGCGAAAGCCUGAUGGAGCAACGCCGCGUGAGUGAUGAAGGCCUUCGGGUUGUAAAACUCUGUCAUUCGGGACGAACCGGAGUCUGAGGAAAUGCAGACUCUCUGACGGUACCGGAGGAGGAAGCCCCGGCUAACUACGUGCCAGCAGCCGCGGUAAUACGUAGGGGGCAAGCGUUGUCCGGAUUCACUGGGCGUAAAGCGCGCGCAGGCGGUGAUGUAAGUCUGAGGUGAAAACCCGAAGCUCAACUUCGGGACUGCCUUGGAUACUGCGUCACUUGAGGAUAGGAGAGGCAAGGGGAAUUCCACGUGUAGCGGUGAAAUGCGUAGAGGUGUGGAGGAACACCUGGUGGCGAAGGCGCCUUGCUGGCCUAUUUCUGACGCUGAGGCGCGAAAGCGUGGGGAGCAAACAGGAUUAGAUACCCUGGUAGUCCACGCUGUAAACGAUGAGUGCUAGGUGUAGGUGGGCUCAUACCCAUCUGUACCGAAGCUAACGCAUUAAGCACUCCGCCUGGGGAGUACGGUCGCAAGACUGAAACUCAAAGGAAUUGACGGGGGCCCGCACAAGCAGUGGAGCAUGUGGUUUAAUUCGAAGCAACGCGAAGAACCUUACCAGGACUUGACAUCCCAUAGACCAGUCUAGAGAUAGACUUUCCCUUCGGGGCUGUGGUGACAGGUGGUGCAUGGUUGUCGUCAGCUCGUGUCGUGAGAUGUUGGGUUAAGUCCCGCAACGAGCGCAACCCUUACUUUGUGUUGCCAGCAUUCAGUUGGGCACUCACAAGGGACUGCCGCCGAUAAGGCGGAGGAAGGUGGGGAUGACGUCAAAUCAUCAUGCCCCUUAUGUCCUGGGCUACACACGUGCUACAAUGGGCGGUACAACGGGAUGCGAAGCCGCGAGGUGGAGCCAAACCCUGAAAACCGUUCGUAGUUCGGAUUGUAGGCUGCAACUCGCCUACAUGAAGCCGGAAUUGCUAGUAAUCGCGGAUCAGCAUGCCGCGGUGAAUCCGUUCCCGGGCCUUGUACACACCGCCCGUCACACCACGAGAAUGGGCAACACCCGAAGUCGGUGGGGUAACCUUUACGGGAGCUAGCCGCCGAAGGUGGGGCCUGUGAUUGGGGUGAAGU
rnacentral:rRNA from 1 species